UUCGGAUUGUAGGCUGCAACUCGCCUACAUGAAGUUGGAAUCGCUAGUAAUCGCGAAUCAGAAUGUCGCGGUGAAUACGUUCCCGGGUCUUGUACACACCGCCCGUCACACCACGAGAGUUUACAACACCCGAAGUCAGUGGCCUAACCGCAAGGAGGGAGCUGCCUAAGGUGGGGUAGAUGAUUGGGGUGAAGUCGUAACAAGGUACC
rnacentral:rRNA from 1 species